UACAGAGGUCCCAAGCGUUGUUCGGAUUCACUGGGCGUAAAGGGUGCGUAGGCGGUCGGGUAAGUCUGACGUGAAAUCUCCAAGCUCAACUUGGAAAUGGCGUCGGAUACUAUUCGGCUUGAGGAGUGGAGGGGAGACUGGAAUUCUCGGUGUAGCAGUGAAAUGCGUAGAUAUCGAGAGGAACACCAGUGGCGAAGGCGAGUCUCUGGACGACUCCUGACACUGAGGCACGAAAGCUAGGGGAGCAAACAGG
rnacentral:rRNA from 1 species